CCCAAAUGCCAGAUUGACUAAACUUAAAUCCUGGCUCCGCCCUAUCCCAGGUACAUCACCAUUGGCAAGUAACUGAACCUCUCUUGCCAGAUUUCUGAUCUGUACAGCAGGAAUAAUGGACCUACUACUGGCUGUAACAAGCAGGUAUAACAGUUGCUGGAGGAAAUCCAAAUAAAUACGUGUUUUCAGUGCUCAUUACAAACUCUGUGGACAAAUUCUACACGGAAGAAGAUCCAAAAAGCCACCGGUCAGGGAUGAUUAGCCCCGAAUAUCCAAAAUCUGUCCUUGAAAGUGAGACUUACCUUUUGCCAGAUGAUAUCCGAACCUCUCACCUACG